AAUAUAGAUUGUUAGGUGAGGUUCCUAUAGAGACAAAUGCUACUGCCCAGAAAAAUCUAGAGAUUCCAAUGGGUUAGCAGUAAUCAUCGCCAAGGUGAUUUCUAAUGUAGCUGAUCAAUUAAGAUCUACGCUCUAUAGUGCUAAAGCUCUACAAAAUGAGAGUU
rfam:Clostridium celatum DSM 1785 genomic scaffold Scfld77, whole genome shotgun sequence.